GAUGAACGCUGGCGGCGUGCCUAAUACAUGCAAGUCGAGCGAACGGACGAGAAGCUUGCUUCUCUGAUGUUAGCGGCGGACGGGUGAGUAACACGUGGAUAACCUACCUAUAAGACUGGGAUAACUUCGGGAAACCGGAGCUAAUACCGGAUGAUAUUUUGAACCGCAUGGUUCAAAAGUGAAAGACGGUCUUGCUGUCACUUAUAGAUGGAUCCGCGCUGCAUUAGCUAGUUGGUAAGGUAAUGGCUUACCAAGGCAACGAUGCAUAGCCGACCUGAGAGGGUGAUCAGCCACACUGGAACUGAGACACGGUCCAGACUCCUACGGGAGGCAGCAGUAGGGAAUCUUCCGCAAAGGGCGAAAGCCUGACGGAGCAACGCCGCGUGAGUGAUGAAGGUCUUCGGAUCGUAAAACUCUGUUAUUAGGGAAGAACAUAUGUGUAAGUAACUGUGCACAUCUUGACGGUACCUAAUCAGAAAGCCACGGCUAACUACGUG
rnacentral:rRNA from 1 species